CUUUGCAUCAUGAUUUACAUUUGAGUGAGUGGCGAACUGGUGAGUAACACGUGGGAAACCUGCCCAGAAGCGGGGGAUAACACCUGGAAACAGAUGCUAAUACCGCAUAACAACUUGGACCGCAUGGUCCGAGCUUGAAAGAUGGCUUUGGCUAUCACUUUUGGAUGGUCCCGCGGCGUAUUAGCUAGAUGGUGGGGUAACGGCUCACCAUGGCAAUGAUACGUAGCCGACCUGAGAGGGUAAUCGGCCACAUUGGGACUGAGACACGGCCCAAACUCCUACGGGAGGCAGCAGUAGGGAAUCUUCCACAAUGGACGAAAGUCUGAUGGAGCAACGCCGCGUGAGUGAAGAAGGGUUUCGGCUCGUAAAACUCUGUUGUUAAAGAAGAACAUAUCUGAGAGUAACUGUUCAGGUAUUGACGGUAUUUAACCAGAAAGCCACGGCUAACUACGUGCCAGCAGCCGCGGUAAUACGUAGGUGGCAAGCGUUGUCCGGAUUUAUUGGGCGUAAAGCGAGCGCAGGCGGUUUUUUAAGUCUGAUGUGAAAGCCUUCGGCUCAACCGAAGAAGUGCAUCGGAAACUGGGAAACUUGAGUGCAGAAGAGGACAGUGGAACUCCUGGUGUAGCGGUGAAAUGCGUAGUUAUAUGGAAGAACACCGGUGGCGAAGGCGGCUGUCUGGUCUGUAACUGACGCUGAGGCUCGAAAGUAUGGGUAGCAAACAGGAUUAGAUACCCUGGUAGUCCAUACCGUAAACGAUGAAUGCUAAAUGGU
rnacentral:rRNA from 1 species